rnacentral:rRNA from 1 species
GAUGAACGCUGGCGGCGUGCCUCAAACAUGCAAGUCGAGCGAGGCUAUGAAUUACCGCAAGGUAAGGCAUAGCCUAGCGGCAACGGGUGAGUAACACGUGGGUAACCUACCUGGAAGACAGGGAUAACGAUUCGAAAGGGUCGCUAAUACCUGAUAAUAUCCGUUUGCCGGAUGGCGGAGGGAAGAAAGGGGAAACCCGCUUUCAGAUGGGCCCGCGUCCCAUCAGCUAGUUGGUAAGGUAAAGGCUUACCAAGGCGACGACGGGUAGCCGGUCUGAGAGGAUGUACGGCCACACUGGGACUGAGAUACGGCCCAGACUCCUACGGGAGGCAGCAGUUGGGAAUCUUAGGCAAUGGACGAAAGUCUGACCUAGCGACGCCGCGUGAGGGAAGAAGGCCUUCGGGUUGUAAACCUCUGUCAUGGGGGAAGAAGGAAGUGACGGUACCCCAAGAGGAAGCCCCUGCUAACUACGUG